GACGAACGCUGGCGGCAUGCUUUACACAUGCAAGUCGAACGGUAACGCGGGGCAACCUGGCGACGAGUGGCGAACGGGUGAGUAAUGCAUCGGAACGUGCCCGGUAGUGGGGGAUAACUGCUCGAAAGAGCAGCUAAUACCGCAUACGACCUGAGGGUGAAAGGGGGGGAUCGCAAGACCUCUCGCUAUUGGAGCGGCCGAUGUCGGAUUAGCUAGUUGGUGGGGUAAGGGCCCACCAAGGCGACGAUCCGUAGCUGGUCUGAGCGGACGACCAGCCACACGGGGACUGAGACACGGCCCAGACUCCUACGGGAGGCAGCAGUGGGGAAUUUUGGACAAUGGACGCAAGUCGGAUCCAGCCAUGCCGCGUGCGGGAAGAAGGCCUUCGGGUUGUAAACCGCUUUUGUCAGAGAAGAAAUCUUCUGGGUUAAUACCUCGGGAGGAUGACGGUAUCUGAAGAAUAAGCACCGGCUAACUACGUGCCAGCAGCCGCGGUAAGAC
rnacentral:rRNA from 1 species